GGUCCACUUGUCCGCCCCCCACCACUGCCAUCUCCCUCGUUUCGCGCUCCGUCGUCGUCGUAUCCCCGCCCCAGCUCGGCCAUGGCUGGCACGAAGCCUUUGCCAACAGCGGUUGUAGCUCUCUCCGCCUGCAGUUGCAGCAUCUGGUGCGCCACACCCCCUCUGUACGCGCCGUCGGCGCUCGCCGCAGGGUGCACACUGCACGCACCAUCGUCUUCUUCUUCCCUGGGCAACCCAAUUCAACGUCUGGUCGUUGUAGCAAAACAGCUUGUCGUUUGUAGCUUUUCGUUCCCGGGUUGCAGCAAAAAUGGAGCGCCACUACGUCUCCCCGUACCAAUCCCUGACAUGUAGCAAAAAUAAUCACAGGUUCCAGCUGCUACAGAUGCUGCUUCCAGCAAUUCUUCUGCCGGUUGCAACUUUUGUGUUCUCGAUUCCAGCAAAAAUGACAGCAAUGGCGCAGUCCGCUCUCCACCCUAGUAACAAAUGUCCUGGCUGGUUCCAUCUAUUUGUGUUGCUGGUUCCAACUUUUUGCUCUGCCGGUUGUAGCACCGCACCCAUGUCUUGUCCACGCUGGCUUUUGGAUGUAGCACCGCCCCAUGUCGUUGAAGCUUCUGCGAGCGCUGGUUCCAGCUUUUUGUACCGUUGGUUCCAGCAUCGACAGCGACGGGCGGUUGCAGUUCGUCGGCCGCCGGUUGUAGCACGGCCCGGGCCGGUUGCAGCUCGCCCGCUGUUGGUUGUCACCGCUUGAUGCUGGGAUCCAGUUCGCUAGCAUCACAACAUCGCCGGGGUGCAGCAGGUCGCCACGCUGGUCCCAGCCCUCCUGCGGCUCGCCAUGGCCUCGCAACGGCGCUCUCACAACACAGGGGCGACGGCGGGCGCGAGUGUCUGCAGCAUCCUUCAAUCCUUACUCGCGGGGGACCUUCAAUCGAAUGGCGGCUUGUCUCCGGCACACCGCCGGCGACAGAUGAGCGGCGAGGGAGAGGCGCAUGGAUGGGAUGGGAUGAGUGACGGGGGAGAGGUGGAGAAAGAUCAAGAGAGAAAAAGAUAAAAGAAGUGAGAGGACGUAGGACCAGUGCACAGUGUGAUGCGCGAACGAGCGACCGGCCGAAGCUUCAGCCGGUGCGCCGUUUGCAAACGUUUUCCAUAAUACAAUGAGUUUAUAUGUACUUGGAAGUAGUGUCUUCUUUUUUCCUGAACGGUACAGUACACUGCAUGUACAACAACAGUGGCUGAGAGGGUUAUUUGCAUUGUUGGUCCUCGUGGAAUCAAUAGACCUCAGUUGUUUAUUUGUAUACUCUCUUGCUUUUUACAGUGUGGUAUUGGUUGCUAGACACAAAGGCAUACACAAAUCUUUGCUCGUGCCAUUAUUUAUUCAGGAAGCACCUAGCAGUGUAAUCUCAUGCAUCAAGUCGAAGGGGGUUGUUUGAGCCCGGCGUUAGCGUUAAAAAUCACCUCAUCUCCACUGGCGAACCCAGCAUCCUUCACAUCACUGAUGGUGUAUCAUUCUCCCGUGUCUCAACAUAGUCUGCCUUUUAGUUAUUCGAUGUCGAUGUUAUAUCAUUCAAACUCAAAGUUCAGCUUGCAAGCUCUUAUGUUUUUAUCUGACCUGUGUUUUGUUUCAAAUGCUUUGUCUUAAUUCAGACCUUUGAUUCUACGAUCAUAUUUUGGAGUUAGUCUUUGUUAGUUUUUAUUGUAAUACUGCUCGGAUGGUUGACAACUUUCUUUAUGGGCAUGAUAAAUGUUCUUUAAUCUUUUGUUGAGUGGUAAAUUAUUCUUCAUGUUUGUAAGAACAAAUUUAUAUAUUAUGUAUCCAUUGCAAUGCAUGGGUUCUUACCUACAUAUUAAAUCUACAUGCAAUUUAUGACAUGCUCGAUCACAGAAUUAAAGAUUUGGAUUAGUGUUUAUUCAAGGCAUUUUCAAGUAUUAUUCAUAUUAAGGCAUUGUUUUUAAAUCAAUUUAUUGGGUUAGGGACAUGAAAAUAUAUAUUUCUCUCGGAGCACAAUGUCAACCAUAUGAUAUCAUGGCACUCGGCAUAUGCGAGGAAUUGUACUCGGCAUAUACAAGUGCUAUACGGAAGGGGUGACGUGGUAAAUUGUUCUUCAGGUUUGUAAGAACAAAAUUAUGUAUUAUGUAUCCAUUGCAAUGCAUGGGCUCUUACCUACAGAUUAAAUCUACAUGCAAUUGAUGACAUGUUUGAUCACAAAAUUAAAUAUUUGGAUUACUGUUUAUUCAAUGCAUUUUCAAGUACAUAUUAAGGCAUUGUUUUAAAUCAAUUUAUUGGGUUAGGGACAUGAAAUUGUUUGUUUUUCUCUCCGAGCACAAUAUCAACCAUAUAAAAUCAUGGCCCAUGCUUAUAUUAUUAAGCUAGGGAGUUCAAUUUUUAUCUUCCGUUGCAAUACACGGGCAUGUGAGUUCAUCUAUAACUGCUUGAUUUUUUUUCGGUUCCUUCUUAUUGCAUAAUAAGUUGCUGAAUAAUUGUCUCUUCUUCUUUCAAUCUCCUUAGCUUACAUGCCAGAUCACAGCAAACCAAUACACGAUGGAACAUCCAGUGGAUAAGAAGGUGAUCAGUUGGUUCAUGUGGAGAACUCCUCACGUUCAGUUCCUCAAUACAGUUUCUACAGUGAUCCAGGGACCGUUGUGUCAGCGGACAGCAUGGGCCAGUGAUUCUCCAGGGGCUGGGGAUGCCUCUCACCUAUUCAUCUCCAUAGUCAUGCCCAAUACUCUAGCUGUCGGUCACCAGGCUCUUCAUCGACCUCGGUAUGACCCUAUGAACUACCAGCAUAGAUAACCUAUCUAACUUCCAGAUAACCUGUCCACGUGCUAUUAGUUAGUCUUCUCUAUAAUAUGCACGUGUGUCUUCUUUAAGGUUUUCGUUUUGUUGAAAUUUGGUCGUUCUAGGACAGGUUUGAUCCUGUUAACUAUUUAACAUAGACGAGCAAGCUUAUCUUACUUUUUUCGAAGAACAAAAUUAUUUUACUUAAUUACUUGGUUGAAUACCAACAUGUGCAGAUGUGUUUGAGCAGACUCAUGUACGUGUGUUCCUGGUCUGCAGGUGAAAGGUUUGAGUCAUUUGUUGCUUCUAGGAAAUAUUGUUUUCUAGAAGUGUACCGCGUAAUCUAAGUAAAUACCAGGCAUGUACAAGCCAUCGAAUCCAAAUGAAUACGUUAUAUGCUGACAUAUUGUAGUUUAUGAUGUAACGGUUUGGCAUAGGAGUUUCUCACUUUUGGUUUUAUGUUGUUGUGUUAACGGGUUUUGCACAAAAAUAAUGGCAUAGCUCUGAAUUUGGGUCACCGGGAUCAAAAUAUUCUGCUAUAAACAGUCUAAUCAGUUUCCUUUUGUGAGUAAGGUUCUUUGGUUAUCAUCAGUAGAAGCGGAGUUGGAUCGUUGACAGAUGUUAAAUGCUGGUCAAGGAUUGUUCUCUCUCAAUGAUGGUUGAUUGAUCUUGCGGUGGCAGUUCUAUCGGGCUUCACAUGACUGCUGCAUCUUACAGGUUUUGCUGCCUCGCUCUGCAGCCUUCAAUUUACCGUUGUAUGAAGGAUGAACCUAUGUCUCAUUUUUUGAGGGCAAACAUAUGUAUCAUUUCCUUGCUUUGUAUCAUAUUGCAGUAAUAAUUAUUGGAAAAAAUUAGUAUCUGCUAAAAUUAUUUAUCUCUGACAUGAAGCAAAAACUUUCUUGAAAUCCUUUGAAGACUACACAAAAUAGCUUCAGAGUGAUCAUAAUAAACAUGUACCUAUUGGAGAUCUUAUAUUAAGAAGUAGUCCUACUCGAUAUAUUCAGUGGUGUAUUUGCAAAA